rnacentral:lncRNA from 1 species
ACCACUUUUGAAUAGGAAGGAAUCUUGAUAAAAGAUAACCCAUCCAGGUUUAAAAAAGAAAAUGCAAUAAGAUACUUUUGUUCUAUAAUAGCCUCAUAUUUGAACCACCUACUCAUUUAUAAAUACAGAAACUCUUCAUCAUGUGGCUAAAAGUAUUUACUAGACUUAUCAUUGUGAUGAUCACCAAACAAGAACAAGAAAAAACUGUAAAAAAAAAAACAAUAGAAUUGAAAUAUAAAUAUAUACCGUUACACAUUAAAUACAAAAACUCCUAAGCAUUGGACUAAUCAUUGUGAUAAUCAUAAAACAAGAACAAGAAAAAAGCAGUAAGAAACAAAAAUAAUAAUAAUGGAGACGUGUUGAAAUCUGUACCGUUACUUUGCUUUAAAUUUUUAAUUUUAAAUGAAUAAAGCAGGUGUGAACCUUACAGAGUGCUCUGUGUUUGACUCUGAGACCGCGAUGACCACCUCUCUGCUC